UAUUUUUUUCCCCCUUUUUAGUUUAGAGCUUUAUUAAUCCCCUUGGGGCAAUUAAUUCAGACUUUCGUGGUGCUUCACAUAUACAACACUUAACACACACAUACAUAUAUUUAAAAUACACCAAAUACAUAAA